rnacentral:rRNA from 1 species
CGGGUGAGUAAUGUAUAGGAACUUGCCUAAUAGUAGGGGACAACGUGUGGAAACGCACGCUAAUACCGCAUACGCUCUACGGAGGAAAGCGGGGGAUCUUCGGACCUCGUGCUACUAGAUGGGCCUAUAUCAGAUUAGCUAGUUGGUAAGGUAAUGGCUUACCAAGGCGACGAUCUGUAGCUGGUUUGAGAGAAUGAUCAGCCACACUGGGACUGAGACACGGCCCAG